rnacentral:rRNA from 1 species
CCGACGGUGAGAGACGAAUGCUGGGGGCGCAAACCGGAUUAAUACCCGGGUAGUCCCAGCAGUAAACGAUGCCAGCUAUGUGUUGCUGGAACCAUGGGUCCAGCAGUGCGAAGGGAAGCCGUGAAGCUGGCCACCUGGGAAGUACGGUCGCAAGGCUGAAACUUAAAGGAAUUGGCGGGGGAGUACCACAACCGGUGGAGCCUGCGGUUUAAUUGGAUACAACGCCGGGAAUCUUACCGGAGGGGACAGCAGUAUGAAGGCCAGGCUAAAGACCUUGCCAGAUCAGCUGAGAGGAGGUGCAUGGCCGUCGCCAGUUCGUACCGUGAGGCAUCCUGUUUAGUCAGGCAACGAUCGAGACCCGCAGUCUUAUUUGCCAGCAUGCCCUUUGGGGUGUAUGGGUACAAUAAGACGACCGCCAGCGCUAAGCUGGAGGAAGGAGCGGGCUACGGUAGGUCAGCAUGCCCCGAAUCCUCCGGGAUACACGCGGGCUACAAUGGUCAGGACAAAAGGCACCGACCUCGAAAGAGUGAGGUAAUCCACAAACCUGAUCUCAGUCCGGAUCGAAGGCUGCAACUCGCCUUCGUGAAGAUGGAAUCGGUAGUAAUCGUGACUCAGAAUGUCACGGGUGAAUAUGUCCCUGCUCCUUGCACUCAACCGCCCGU